UGUAAUACACCGUGCAGCUGCGAUUGAUCGCAUACUCUUCGUUGGCCCGGAUUUGUGGACGAUUGUAAAGAGUGCGUAGGUGUCACAACCAAUCAACUCAGGUACAACUCAGGUAUAUAGGGACAGCAGGGGCGAGGCAUCUUUCUCUUACGUUCCCUUAGCGAGAUGUCAACUAUGGCCUAUAUGUGCCUCCUCGCCGGUCUUGUUAGCGCUGCGACAGUGACUUUUGGAGCCGAAGUUCCAACUAGUGGCCACUGCAUUAACGUUACGAUCAGGGAUGUGAUGGGUAUUGGCGAGUGUCUCGGUACUUCGAACUUCUGCGACAGUAGCACCGGCCUCAAAGGUGCUGCAAUGAAGAUAACGCAAGUGAGUGGCUAUUAAUAUUUGACG